rnacentral:rRNA from 1 species
UACGUAGGUGGCAAGCGUUGUCCGGAUUUACUGGGCGUAAAGAGCGCGCAGGCGGCUGGGCAAGUCCGAUGUGAAAGCUUCCGGCUUAACUGGAAAAUUGCAUCGGAAACUGCUCGGCUUGAAGGUGGGAGAGGGUAGCGGAAUUCCCGGUGUAGUGGUGAAAUGCGUAGAUAUCGGGAGGAACACCAGUGGCGAAGGCGGCUGACCUGCCCAGCCUCUUGACGCUGAGGCGCGAAAGCUAGGGGAGCAAACGGG